rnacentral:tRNA from 1 species
GCUGGAGUGGCGGAAUGGCAUACGCGCUGGUCUCAAAAACCCGUAGCCUCACGGCUGUGAGGGUUCGACUCCCUCCUCCAGCA